AGUGAACGCUGGCGGUAGGCCUAACACAUGCCAGUCGAACGGCAGCACAGUAAGAGCUUGCUCUUACGGGUGGCGAGUGGCGGACGGGUGAGGAAUACAUCGGAAUCUACUUUUUCGUGGGGGAUAACGUAGGGAAACUUGCGCUAAUACCGCAUACGACCUACGGGUGAAAGCAGGGGAUCUUCGGACCUUGCGCGAUUGAAUGAGCCGAUGUCGGAUUAGCUAGUUGGCGGGGUAAAGGCCCACCAAGGCGACGAUCCGUAGCUGGUCUGAGAGGAUGAUCAGCCACACUGGAACUGAGACACGGUCCAGACUCCUACGGGAGGCAGCAGUGGGGAAUAUUGGACAAUGGGCGCAAGCCUGAUCCAGCCAUACCGCGUGGGUGAAGAAGGCCUUCGGGUUGUAAAGCCCUUUUGUUGGGAAAGAAAAGCAGCAGGUUAAGACCCCGCUGUUCUGACGGUACCCAAAGAAUAAGCACCGGCUAACUUCGU
rnacentral:rRNA from 1 species